rnacentral:rRNA from 1 species
GAUGAACGCUGGCGGCGUGCCUAAUACAUGCAAGUCGAGCGAACAGACGAGGAGCUUGCUCCUUCGACGUUAGCGGCGGACGGGUGAGUAACACGUAGGUAACCUACCUAUAAGACUGGGAUAACUUCGGGAAACCGGAGCUAAUACCGGAUAAUAUUUCGAACCGCAUGGUUCGAUAGUGAAAGAUGGCUUUGCUAUCACUUAUAGAUGGACCUGCGCCGUAUUAGCUAGUUGGUAAGGUAACGGCUUACCAAGGCAACGAUACGUAGCCGACCUGAGAGGGUGAUCGGCCACACUGGAACUGAGACACGGCCCAGACUCCUACGGGAGGCAGCAGUAGGGAAUCUUCCGCAAUGGGCGAAAGCCUGACGGAGCAACGCCGCGUGAGUGAUGAAGGUCUUCGGAUCGUAAAACUCUGUUAUUAGGGAAGAACAAACGUGUAAGUAACUGUGCACGUCUUGACGGUACCUAAUCAGAAAGCCACGGCUAACUACGUG